rnacentral:misc_RNA from 1 species
GAUGAAGAACGUAGCGAAAUGCGAUACUUGGUGUGAAUUGCAGAAUCCCGUGAACCAUCGAGUCUUUGAACGCAAGUUGCGCCCGAAGCCAUUAGGCCGAGGGCACGCCUGCCUGGGCGUCGCACGUCGUUGCCCCCCCAUCUACUCCUUCGGGAUUGCGGGGGGCGGAUGAUGGCCUCUCGUGCGCCUCGUCGCGCGGUUGGCCUAAAUGCCAAGUCCUCGGCGACGCACGCCACGACAAUCGGUGGUUGCGAAACCUCGGUUGCCUGUCGUGUGCGGUCGUCGCGCAUCGAGGGCUCGAAAAAAUUGCCGGGCUUCGGCUCGACUUUCAACGCGACCCCAGGUCAGGCGGGGUUACCCGCUGAAUUUAAGCAUAUCAAUAAGCGGAGGA